AGCAACACAGGAUCUGAACUACAUCUGCCCCCUACACCACAGCUCACGGUAACAUCAGAUCCCAGACCCAGUGAGCGAGGCCAGGGAUCAAACCCACAUCCUCAUGGAUAUUAGUUGGGUUCAUUUCUUCUGAGCCACCACAGAAACUCCCCAAAAUGAGUAUCUUUCAAUCAAAAUACAAACUACCAAAAGUACUUUGGGAGAAGGAGAAAAUCUGAGCCGAUGUUCCAAUGCUAUUUAUUUCAAAAAUUCUGACAAUACAAGAAAAUGAAAAACUGAACCUUUCAACUCUUAAGCCAGCAUAACCUUUAUACAAGGCCCUGCAAAAUUCUGAAACAAAAAACAACCAUGGCAAUAAUUACAAAUGCUAUGGAUCAACCUUAUUUAUUAUUUGGGAGCCAACGAUUUCAAUAUUAAUUAAUAAGAUCAUGCGCUAUGACGUGGUAGGGCUUAUUUCAAAGAUAUUUUCUCUAUCAAGAAAUCUCUUCAUAUAUGAACAACAAAAAUGGUGAGGGCCCGUGGGGAUUCAGCACAGACUCUCCAUCAGACACUCUACUAAAUUAUUUCUCUCACUGUAACCCAGUUUCGUUAUUAUUAGCACUGAAUUUUGAAGAUAAGAAACCUAAGGGAUUAAGACGGUGGGUUAAACUCCUGUGAUCACACGAGAUGAAGUGGUAGGGCUGGAAACCUCAUCUGGGAAGUACUGCUUCUUUGUCCUGCUCUUCACCAUGCCACUACAGAGCUGCGUGUCAGGGGCAGGCAGGAGGUGGUGUAAGAACAGAGGCACAGCUGCUGGAAAGGAAUUUGAUAAAAUGCGAUAGCUAUUAUCAUUAGAGCUAAGAAAAAUAAUAUGAGAAACUAGGUAAUGGUUCAUUAUUUAUAAAAAUCUACUCUUAGUGGAUAGCGAAACUCAGGCUAUUUCUCUUAAAAUCAAGCGCAAGAUGAGAUGUCCAUUAACUCCACCAAUAUUCAAUAUUUUGUCUGUUCUGGCAAAUGCAAUAUGUCAUAAAAUGAAAUGAGAAUUUAAAACCCUGUAAAAGCAUCCUCAGGGAUAUUGCUUCAGCAGUUCUAAACCUCAUUCUUACUUCGUUAUGAUCGUUCUGCCCCUCUAGCGUCAGGACCACUAGCAUACAAACAGGGCAUUGGCUUUCCUGACCCCACUUUCUCCUCCAACACUGCAGUGUAUCUUUUUGCUCUUCAUUGCAUCAAAAUACAUUAAAGUGGCUCUUAUGUAUUUGCCCUUCUUCAGUCUCUUUCCACCCAUUUACUCUUACUCACACUCCAAGUUUGCUGCUAUUCCACCCAAAAUGCUCAUAGGAAGAUAGCAGAUGACUGCCGUGAUUUGUUUUUUUUUUUUGCAUCUGGAAGUUCCCAGGCUAGAGGUCGAAUCAGAGCUGCCAGCCUAUGCCACAACCCCAGCAACAUCAGAUCCGAGCAGCAUCUGUGACCAUAGCUCGCAGCAACGCUGGAUCCUUAAUUCACUGAGCAAAGCCAGGGAUCAAACCCACGUCCUUCACACUGUCAGAAUGGCCAUCAUUAAUAAGUCCCCAAAUAACAAAUGCUGGAGGGGGUGUGGAUAAAAGGGAACCCUCCUGCGCUAUUGGUGGGAAUGUAAGCUGGUACAACCACUAUGGAGAACAGUAUGGAGGCAUGCACCUUAGAAAAGCAUACAUAGAACUACCAUAUGACCCAGAAAUCCCACUCUUGGGCCUAUAUCCGGACAAAACUUGCCUUGAAAAAGACAUAUGCACCUGCAUGUUCAUUGCAGCUCUAUUCACAAUAGCCAAGACAUGGACAGAACCCAAAUGUCCAUCAAUAGAUGAUUGGAUUAGGAAGAUGGGUGUAUAUCUACACAAUGGAAUACUACUCAGCCAUAAAAAGGACAAAAUAAUGCCAUUUGCAGCAACAUGGAUGGAACUAGAGACUCCCAUACUGAGUAAAUUAAAUCAGAAAGAGAAAGACAAAUACUAUUUGAUAUCACUUAUAUCUGGAAUCUAAUAUACGACACAAAGGAAUCUUUCCACAGAAAAGGAACUCACAGACUUGGCGAAUAGACUUGUGGUUGCCAAGGGGGAGGGGGAGGGAGUGGGGUGGAUUAGAAGCUUGGGGUUAAUAGAUGCAGACUGUUGCCUUUGGAAUGGAUGAGCAAUGAGAUCCUGCUGUGUAGCACAGGGAACUAUGUCUAGUCACUUAUGAUGGAGCAUGAUCGUGUGAGAAAAAAGAAUGUAUACAUGUAUGUGUAACUGGGUCACCAUGCUGUAUAGUAGAAAAUUGACAGAACACUGUAAACCAGCUAUAAUGGAAAAAAUAAAAAUCAUUAUAUAUAUAUAUAUACAAAAAAACAUGUCCUCAUGGAUACUAGUCCGGUUCGUUACCACUGAGCCACAUCAGGAACUCUAACCUCUGUGUGUUUAGAGCCUGAGCUGCCAGGAGUGUUGGCUGCUUACAGCCCACAGCUGAGUCCCAGGAAUUUUCCCCAAGGGAUCUCAUGCAGUAUUUUUUUGGGGGCGGGGGGGCCGCACGCACUCCAGUGAGUGCUCUGCGGGGUCUGCCGAGGCUUUCCUUUAUCUCAACUCAAGACAUGUCAGAAGGGCCACCUUCUGGGCCGGAGGUCCUGUGGGUGCGGCUGGGGCCUCUGUUGCAACUGCACUGCCACUUACCUGCUUCCUCCACCCAGUCCUGCCUCCCUCACUGCCUCUCAGGUGUUGUCACCCACAAACCACCGUCUUGGAGAGCUCGGUCUCAGCGUCUCUUCCUCGGGGACCCUGAGCCGGGACAGUCAUCAGCAGCGUUUGAGGCUGCCGGUCAGUCCCACUUCCCUGCCGCACUCCCCGUUUCCCGAGUUCUCUCCUGUCAUGUGACAUCUCUUUCUCAGGCUCCUUUGCCAAAGUCUCCUCCUCUCCUCAAAUUUUAUUUUAUUUAUUUAUUUAUAUUUUUUUAAGGGCCGCAUCUGCAGCAUAUGGAGGUUCCCAGGCUAGGGGUCUAAUUGGAUCUACAGCUGCUGGCCUACACCACAGCUCACGGGAAGGCCGGAUCCUUAACCCACUGAGCCAGGCCAGGGAUCGAACCUGCAACCUCAUGGUUCCUAGUCGGCUUCGUUUCCACUGUUCCACGAUGGGAACUCCUCCUCCACUGUUAACAUUGCAGGGCUCUGGAAUCACAUUCUUGGGCCUCCUCUCUGCUCUUGGCGAUUUUACCUCUCUCCAUAUGAGGCUCUCUCAAUAUGUACCUCUAGUUCCCUCUGUUGCUCACACCACAACCUUCUCCAUCUCAGUUGGAGGAAACGCCAUCCUUUGAGGUUCUCAAGUCAAAUCCCGGAGGUCAGCCCUGACUCCUUCCUUUCUCUCAGGUCCAACAUCCAAUCCAGCAAGAAUUCCCGUUGCCUCCACCAUCAGAUUAUAUCCAGAUUUUCACUACUUGUCAUGCCUUUAGCGUUACCUCUGCUCCGAGAAGCCAUGAUUUUUCUCCCAGAUUCCUUCUUAAGCCUCCUCACCCAUCUUCCCUACAGCUCUUUUGCAACGAACCACCGGCCACUCUUCAAAUGUCAGCCAGACCAUGUUGUCUCUGCUCAACCCCCUGCGACGGCCGUCCCAGGCAUCCGACAGCAAACCAUGGCCUGCCUCGCUCCUCAUCUCCACGGCCAGCGAGGCGGAGGCUUCUCCCCCUGCCUGGACUGUACCGACUGGCCUUGCACGUGAGCCUGGGCCGUGAGUGCUCUGCCUGUCGAAAGACGUCUCUGUUCCCCAAACUGUUCCAGCGUUGGUGUGUGUGUGUGGCAGCAGCUACAGGGGAGGAUGCAGAACCAAACCAGCCUGAGAAAGAAGUGAAGAGGAGGAAUGGACCUUACCUUUUUAACUCUGCCUAAAAGCCAAAGGCAUUUUACAGAUGGUGACUUCAUGGCGCUUGUAAGUCUUCCCCCUUUGAACUUAAGUUCUGUUCAGUUACUCUUCCCAUUAAAGUUUAAAGAACAACUUUAUGAUCUGAGAGAAACAAAACAACACUUUCGUGGGUCCCUAGUUCUCUCGCUAAUAUCUCUCUUUUCUCUUUCAAUGGCUCUUUGUGUCUCUCAAACAGGCAAAGGCCUCACAGUGGUCUAAUAGAUUGGACGUGGCCUCUCCUACUCCCACCCGAAGCCUUCGGUACAGCUGGCUUCUUCUCUGCUGUUCCCCACUCCCCCUCCUAGUCACUCCUCUGCUCUCGCCCCUGGCUCUUCCCAGAGCAAGCCAGGCCCGGUCUCAUCUCAGGAACUUUGCUCUAAUCUCACUAUUUUCCCGUUUGCUAGGAUAUAAGCUCCACUGAAACUAAGAGUCUUGGACCAUCCACUCAGUGAUAAACCCCAAGCACCUAGAAAAACGUUUGGUAUCAGGUAUGAACCUACCUGAUCAAUAAGUCUGGAAUGAGCGAAUGGAUGAAAAAAUGGAUGAGAUAAAACCAUCUAUUUCUUUCUUUUAAAAAAAUAUAUUUUUUGUCUUUUUAGGGCUGUACCCACAUCAUAUAGAAAUUCCCAGGCUAGGGGUGGAAUCGAAGCUACAGCUGCAGCCCACGACACAGACACAGCAACACAGGAUGCGAGCCCCAUCACAGCUCUCAGCAACAUCAGAUCCUUAACCCACUGAGCGAGGCUAGGGAUCGAACCUGCGUCCUCAUGGAUACUAGCCAGAUUCGCUUCUGCUGAGCCAUGACGGGAACUCCAAAAAUCAUCUAUUUCUGAUGCCAUUUUUACAUAUCUGUAAAACUCAAGAGACUACCAAAGACAUGCACACUUCCUAGGAUUAAUAAGAUAAUUGAUGAGUGAGUUGGCUACAAAAAUCAAUUUCUCUUUUUUAAAUAAAAUGUGUAAUAGGCCAGAAGUAAAAAUGGAGUACUUGUGACAAAAUCUAUAGUUUAGGAAUAAAAUUAACAAAGUGUAUGUGACAUCUAUGAAGGGAAAUAUAAAAUCUUACUGAGACCAUAAAAUUAGAUCUGAAUUAAUGGAAAGAAAAAAUAUGCUCUUAACAGGGAAUUUUGAAUAUUAAAAAAAGUCAGGUCCUCAAAAUUUAUAUACCUAAAGUAAGUGAAAUAUGCAUUGAAACACUUUUUGGAAUUGGGUAAAAUAAUCUUGGAGUUCCCUUUGUGGCUCAGCGGGCUAUG
rnacentral:lncRNA from 1 species